GAAAUGCGAUAAGUAAUGUGAAUUGCAGAAUUCAGUGAAUCAUCGAGUCUUUGAACGCACAUUGCGCCCCCUGGUAUUCCGGGGGGCAUGCCUGUCCGAGCGUCAUUGCUGCCCUCAAGCACGGCUUGUGUGUUGGGCUUCCGUCCCUGGCAACGGGGACGGGCCCAAAAGGCAGUGGCGGCACCAUGUCUGGUCCUCGAGCGUAUGGGGCUUUGUCACCCGCUCCCGUAGGUCCAGCUGGCAGCUAGCCUCGCAACCAAUCUUUUUAACCAGGUUGACCUCGGAUCAGGUAGGGAUACCCGCUGAACUUAAGC
rnacentral:misc_RNA from 1 species